UUUUACAGGAUGAUGAGUCCAGUACCGGUCGAAAUUUGACAUCUGCUUCCAAAUUUUCGAAAUUCGGAAAGCAACUCAUAAUCUGCCGGUGAUCCCGGAACGUUAUCGGUAUCGAAAACUGGUCGUUUGGAAUCGGAGGAAUCAGUCGGCUUCAUACAUCGCAUCGAACCUUUCCGCAAUCUCUUUGGCCUUGGGGCUGGAGUGGUCCAACUCAAAGUGGUAUCACGGAUUUCUGUUUCUAUUUUUGAUUCAUUUCAUAACAUUGGUGCACUAGUCACAUUCUGGUGAAGCGAGCGAUACUCUGGAUGAUGCUCUUCUAGAUGUCGUGGAAAACGUCACGAGAGUCAUACAACACAGCGAUACAAAGGUACACAGUUUGAUCUGUGACUCGGAGAUGUCGUCGACUCAAUGCAUUCCGUUGACACUAGCAUUGUUAAGAAAUUGACAUAUAAAACUUUUCAAAUUGUGGAAAGCAAUGGCAUGUGGCGCAAUUGGCUGACAAAAAGUGAAAGAAAGAUUUAAUGAUAAAUGCAACUAGUGAAAUAAAUAUUUAAUGAGGAAUUUCGUAAAAUUUAAUUUGAUUUGAAUUAGAUGAAUUUGAUUUCGUAGGAUUUAAAGAAUAAGCAUCUUUGCGUUGUCCCUGUGGAAAAGGGGGCGAAUAAGAAGACAAAGUAUAAAAGUAAUGAAUAUACUGGUAAUUUCUCUAUGAAUGAAAUAAUCAUGUCGACGCAUUUGUAUCGCAAGAUCACGUGAGCGUGUACCCUUAACUUGAUAAUAUAUUUACGUGACAGUUUA